AAGUUGAGGGCGCCGCGCCUCCGCCUGGCCCCGCCGCUCCGUAGGAAACCUCCGCGCCUGCCUGGGCCCUUGGCCCUGGGUCGCCUCAUUUUACCCCAAACGGCCACUAUGUUGGGAGCUUACCGUGUGCCUAGCGCUGGGCUUUCUGUGUCAUGCGCAACCUAACAAGCUUGUGAAGUUAGCACCACUGUGCCGCCGGGCUGGAAACCCAGUCUCCGAGUCAGAAAGGGGGUUUCACCCAGUAAAGGGAGAACCAGAUGACUGGAAAGAAGAACCGAUGGGAACAGACCAGAGCUGGGUUGAACCCGGACCCUGCCACCACCUAGCUGUGUCACGCCAGCCAAUUUUUUGAAGUCUCCCAUGCUCCCUCCUUCAUUUCCCAGUAGUGACUGAGCACCUCCUGGUGAGCGUAUGGGCAGGUGGCUGUGUUCCUCCAGCACGUAUAGAUCUGUGUGCCCGGCACAUGAAAUGGAGUCUAUCACCACUGAGCACUUCACUUCAAGCUCUGGAAAAGGGCAGGGACCCCGGCCUGUCUUCAGCACCUUGAGCGGAGCUCCAAUAAUGAAGACUAGGGGAGACACCUUUGGGUCCAUUCCACAAACAUUACUGAGCACCUAGUCAAGCAUCCAUCCAUCCUUCCGGCCAGCCAGCCAGCCGGCAAAGCUCUACUGAAUGCCCACCAUGUACCAGGCACUCUAAGUGGCACUGGUGAAGAUUGCUUGCAAGAGCUGACACCUGGACCGAGUUCUGAAGGACAAACAGGAGGACGCCAGCCACAGCAGGAGGAGGACAGCAUUCCAGGCAGAGGGAGCAGCAUGCACAAAGGUCCAAGGCGAUGGGAGAGAGAAAGCACGCUCAUCUCAGGAGCACAGGGCCUCCAAAUGGCUAGAGCAUGAGCGGGUGGGUUGGGGGAGCAGGGAGACAGGGGCUAGAAGAGCAGGCAGGGGCAGGUAACGGAAGCCCCUAUUCAGAGAAUCUAGCAGGGAGCUUGGCCUUCACUCUGGAGGUCAUGGGGAACCGUCUUGGGAAGGUGUGGGAGCUGUAAAAUCAGGGUAGUGCUUUUGAAAUCGCUGGUGGCAAAGAGGAAGCUACGUUGGAUGGGGCGAGAGCAGAACUGGGGCACUUGUGAUGUGGCUGUUGUAAGAAGCUGGAAAGAAAGACCGGGAGGGCCCUCACUGGGACCUGGGAGAUAUUAAGGAGGCAGAAUGUAGAUGAUUUGGGGGCUGCCUGGAGUAGGGACUGAGGGGGGUCUGGGAUGAGGCCCCAGGUUUCCAGUUCAGGAGCCUGUGGACAUGGAGGCACUGAGCACAGAGGCGGGGUGUGGUGACAGGUUAGAGGCAGGGGGAGUCAAGGUGUGAGCAGGCUGGGGCACAGUGUCCUGCGGGACAUCCAAGAGGAGAGGAUGACAGACACUCUGCAGGUACUAGGGACUCAGACCUUCAGGAGGAGGUUUCUGCCAGAGGCAACUCCCAGCCUACCAGGGUACAGGCGGGACAGGGAGAAAUCUGACAAUUACAGAGCCCAGAGAGUGCAGAAGGGAGGUUCUCAGCCCUCUCCCCUCCCCUCCCCCCCCCCCACCCUUCUGCCAGCAUCCUGGGCCUCAGGAGUGCUGCAGAAGCCUCACUCUGUCUCCUGGACAGGGCCACCUCUCACCUGCCUUUGUCCCUAAACUAGGCCCGGAGCCCUCCUCCUUUCCAUCCCAUGCUAUAUCUCUCCCAGAGUAACUAGUCAUGCUUUGUUGUUGAACUCCUUCCUCAAUAAACUAUCAACACCAUGAGGGCAGGGCCUACUGGCCAGGCCUUAUUCUUCUUCGUAUUUGUUACCUCAGCACCCAGCAUGGAACCUGGCAUGCAGAUUAAUGUUUCAGACAUGAACAAAUGAAUGAGUGAGUGAGGAGUAAGCCAAUGACUACAGAAAAAAACACGAAGGCAUGUGUAAGGGUACUGCUAGCUGCUGUGACAUGCUCCCAAUAUUUCAGUGGCUUAAUGCUGUUAGAGAUCAUUUCUCAGGGGCACCGGGGUGGCUCGAUGGGUUGAGCACCCAACUUCAGCUCAGGUCAUGAUCUCAUGGUUUGUGAGUUCAAG